rnacentral:rRNA from 1 species
UACGAAGGGGGCUAGCGUUGUUCGGAAUUACUGGGCGUAAAGCGCGCGCAGGCGGCUAUCCAAGUCAGUGGUGAAAGCCCGGAGCUCAACUCCGGAACUGCCAUUGAAACUGUUUAGCUUGAGGAUGAGAGAGGUGAGUGGAAUUCCCAGUGUAGAGGUGAAAUUCGUAGAUAUUGGGAAGAACACCAGUGGCGAAGGCGGAACUCUGGGCCGGAACUGACGCUGAGGAGCGAAAGCGUGGGGAGCGAACAGG